GCCUUGUUCGGUGCAAGUGUUUUAUAAGAGGGUUUGUAGUGUUUUGGGGUGUAAAAUCUGGGCCCGGUUAAAACACUUCAAGACACUCCAAAACGCUCUUGGAUCGUUCGGCAGGCCGGUUUCGGCCGGGUUAGGGCCCAAGAAACACCCCAAAACACGUCGGGCCGGCGUGGAAUCAAAACGCUCCGCCCCCCUCGCGUUUUGAUCGGGUGAGACGGCUCGCAGCUCCGCUCUUCCCCGCCGCCGCCACCAAAGCUCCGCCACGCUGCCGCCACCGACACUCCUCCCCGCCGCCGAUGGCUACGCCUUCCUAUGCCCUGAAGUCAAUUCAUUCCUCCGUCCCCGACGUUUGUCGAGGCUUUCCUCCGCCCCGGCGCCUCCCUCCCUUCCCUGACUCCAUCGAAGCUCACCACCGUCGAUUUGCAGAUCCUUGCGCAGCUCCCCAUCUCCGUCGAAGUCUGGGCUUCUCUCAGGUAGUAUUCAGUAGUAGGUUCAAAGAUAUCGACGAUGACAUGCCGGCUCGGUGGUGGAGCCAGUGCAGUUUGUGUGUUGCCCUGGGACGCAAUGGCGCUGAUGAGAUUCCCCUGGGCGUCAGCGAGAACGUGUAGGAGGUCAUCAACGUGGGGAAGGAGCUCUGGGCCAAGAUCGGCAUCGACGAUUGUUGGAUCCAGCAGGAUCAACUAGCUCUAGUUAGAGCCACAAAAGAAUAAGAUCAGAAAUACCUUGAUCUGAAGAUGAUGCCAUGUCUCCUCUUGUUUAAUUGCUCACACCAAAAUGGAGCAACUUGUGCUUGAUUCUUCCCAGUGCUUUAGUGCUAGCCUGAUCGGUGGCUUAAUUUGUGUGAGAGAGAGUGAGAGAGAGAACUGAGAGCAGCCGUGUGUUCUCCACUCUUCUAGGGUCAUUUGACCCCUUUAUAUAUGUUUAGCACUAUGCACUAGGGGAACCAGCACCGUUGGAUCAAAAUCGAUGUCUCCGAUCAAGACAACACAUAAGGAUAGGUGGCCAUUUACUGUAGCACCGCCCUACUGUAGCACCGUCCUACUGUAGCAACCCAAAAAAAAUCUGACCUAGGAGAGCAGCCUAGAUCACCAAAAUAUCCAACAACGAUGACAUGCCGGUGGCAUCAACGAGGACGAGUAGGAGAUCACCAACAUCGUCGGAGCCGGGUUACUAAACACCACGUACGGGCCGCUCAUCGUAACACCAGAGGCUAACUUUGCAGAUACUAACAUGGCUGAAGCUUUGGAGGAAACUUAUUAAGAGGUGAUGGACCAUGAGAAUGGAUCUGAUGAGUACAAGCGAGAUGAAGAAAGCACCCCAGUUUUAGAGGGUACGUAUGGAUGAGAACGUCUCAGAGAAAACUUAUGUUCAUGCUGCCCUUUUGCUCUGCUUGAAGUUGUCAGAGACCAUGCCUGAAGAUAUUUACUGUUAGAACUGAGCUGAAAUAAUACUGAAUAAUUUAUUGUUUAGCAAGUCUUUAGCUUCAGUGCCUGAAGAUAUUUUCUGUUGGAACUGAGCUGAAACCUUAUUUGUGACACAAUUCUAGUUUAAAUUGUCUAAAAAGAUCGUCUUUUUAUCCAUUUAUGUUGACCAAACUUGAAUACACUAGUUUGUAAAACCAGCCGGCCAAACAAGUGUUUUGACAAGUGUUUUAGGUGAAAGGGGU